rnacentral:lncRNA from 1 species
UUCAAUUUCCUUAUACCCUUUUGUAAACCAAGUGCUCUGCAUGAUCUUGGCAAUGUUAAUUCUAGUCCUUGGAUUGGGAUCAAGGAUUCUGUAGAGAAGCCUUUUCGCGUCUGAGCGGAACCAUGGAGGGAACUUGAAAUCUGCUGUGGUAAUUUUUCUGUACAUUUCCAUUAGAUUUUUAUCAUUGAAAGGAAGAAAACCUGCUAAGAGAACAUAGAGAAUCACUCCACAUGACCAAAUAUCUGCUCUGGCUCCAUCAUAUCCUUUCUUUUUUAUCACCUCAGGUGCUACAUAAGAUGGAGUUCCACAUGUUGUGUGAAGUAAACCAUCACUUUUCUUUGAUUCCAACAAUGCACUCAAACCAAAGUCUGUAACUUUGAGGUCCCCAUUUUCAUCUAGGAGAAGAUUCUCCGGUUUGAGGUCACGGUGAUAC